rnacentral:tRNA from 5 species
CGGGAUAUAGCGCAGUUUGGUAGCGCGCCACCUUGGGGUGGUGGAGGUCACAGGUUCGAAUCCUGUUAUUCCGA